UACAGAGGUCUCAAGCGUUGUUCGGAUUCAUUGGGCGUAAAGGGUGCGUAGGCGGCGCGGUAAGUCGGGUGUGAAAUCUCGGAGCUUAACUCCGAAACUGCAUUCGAUACUGCCGUGCUUGAGGACUGGAGAGGAGACUGGAAUUUACGGUGUAAGCGGUGAAAUGCGUAGAUAAUCGUAAGGAAGACCAGUGGCGAAGGCGGGUCUCUGGACAGUUCCUGACGCUGAGGCACGAAGGCCAGGGGAGCAAACGGG
rnacentral:rRNA from 1 species